UACGGGGGGGGCAAGCGUUGUUCGGAAUUACUGGGCGUAAAGGGCUCGUAGGCGGCCAACUAAGUCGGAUGUGAAAUCCCCAGGCUUAACCUGGGAACUGCAUCCGAUACUGGAUGGCUUGAAUCCGGGAGAGGGAUGCAGAAUUCCCGGUGUAGUGGUGGAAUGCGUAGAUAUCGGGAGGAACACCAGUGGCGAAGGCGGCUUCCUGGACCUGUUCUGACACUGAGGAGCGAAAGCGUGGGGAGCGAUCCGG
rnacentral:rRNA from 1 species